UAGUCCACGCCCUAAACGAUGUUUACUCGAUAUUUGGUUUUCGGACUGAGUGUCUAAGCGAAAGCAAUAAGUAAACCACCUGGGGAGUACGUUCGCAAGAAUGAAACUCAAAGGAAUUGACGGGGGCCCGCACAAGCGGUGGAGCAUGUGGCUUAAUUCGAUGAUACGCGAGGAACCUUACCAGGGCUUAAAUGUAGUAUGACAGGUUUAGAGAUAGACUUUUCUUCGGACAUAUUACAAGGUGCUGCAUGGUUGUCGUCAGCUCGUGCCGUGAGGUGUCAGGUUAAGUCCUAUAACGAGCGCAACCCCUGUUGUUAGUUGCCAGCGAGUCAUGUCGGGAACUCUAGCAAGACUGCCGGUGCAAACCGCGAGGAAGGUGGGGAUGACGUCAAAUCAUCACGGCCCUUACGUCCUGGGCCACACACGUGCUACAAUGGUAGGUACAGAGAGCAGCCACUUGGUGACAAGGAGCGAAUCUAUAAAGCCUAUCACAGUUCGGAUCGGAGU
rnacentral:rRNA from 1 species